GACAGAGGGGGCAAGCGUUGCUCGGAAUCACUGGGCGUAAAGGGCGCGUAGGCGGCAAUUCAAGUCAGCUGUGAAAUCUCCGGGCUUAACUCGGAACGGUCAGCUGAUACUGCUUUGCUAGAGUGCAGAAGGGGCGAUCGGAAUUCUUGGUGUAGCGGUGAAAUGCGUAGAUAUCAAGAGGAACACCUGAGGUGAAGACGGGUUGCUGGGCUGACACUGACGCUGAGGCGCGAAAGCUAGGGUAGCAAACGGG
rnacentral:rRNA from 1 species